CCACAGCUCUCCAUAGAAAUCUCAAGGACACAACUUUUCCCCCCAUCUUGUGGAAGGAUGACAUUUUCUGAUAUUUGCUUCAAACUCUGAGUGAGACCCUAUGCAGGUCCCACAGGUUAUUUUAAUCUAUCUUCCUCACUGACACAAGUUCUAUUGGGGCUGAGACCAGAGAAGACAAUGUGAGACCCUGCAUCCAACAGUAUUCCUUUUAGAAACUAUGCCCAGACUGAGUGGGUGCAUUUUUGUUCUAAUACUUUUUCUCUUCUGUAGUUUACACAGUAGGAGAUAAUCUUUGAUAUGGCAACUAUGUCAUUCCCCUCAGUGUGCCCAACAACUCACAUCUCAUAGCUGCAAUAGGUCAGAG